GACGAACGCUGGCGGCGUGCUUAACACAUGCAAGUCGAACGGAAAGGCCCUGCUUUUGUGGGGUGCUCGAGUGGCGAACGGGUGAGUAACACGUGAGUAACCUGCCCUUGACUUUGGGAUAACUUCAGGAAACUGGGGCUAAUACCGGCUAGGAGCUCCUGCUGCAUGGUGGGGGUUGGAAAGUUUCGGCGGUUGGGGAUGGACUCGCGGCUUAUCAGCUUGUUGGUGGGGUAGUGGCUUACCAAGGCUUUGACGGGUAGCCGGCCUGAGAGGGUGACCGGCCACAUUGGGACUGAGAGACGGCCCAGACGCCUACGGGAGGCAGCAGUGGGGAAUAUUGCACAAUGGGCGGAAGCCUGAUGCAGCAACGCCGCGUGCGGGAUGACGGCCUUCGGGUUGUAAACCGCUUUCGCCUGUGACGAAGCGUGAGUGACGGUAAUGGGUAAAGAAGCACCGGCUAACUACGUG
rnacentral:rRNA from 1 species